rnacentral:pre_miRNA from 1 species
AAACAAACCAAAUUUCCCUUUGUAUCUAUAAUAUUUUACUAUUUAUCUUAUUCAAAAUUUUUUUACAAAUAAUAUUUUUGUUUUUAUUAGAUAAUAAAUCAUGAAUAGUACUUAACGUGUGACUAAUUUUUUUUCAUUUUUUAAAAAAAAUUCAAAUAAGACAUAUGAUCAAACGCUGAACACGGGAACCGAAGAGUUAGCUUAUU